rnacentral:tRNA from 1 species
GGGGCUAUAGCUCAGUUGGUAGAGCGUUCGGUUCGCAAUCGAAAGGCCGCCGGUUCGAAUCCGGCUAGCUCCA